CCCAAGAUGGCGGCCGUUAAGGACAGUUGUGGCAAAGGAGAAAUGGCCACAGGGAAUGGGCGGCGGCUCCACCUGGGGAUUCCUGAGGCCGUGUUUGUGGAAGAGGUAGAUUCCUUCAUGAAACAGCCUGGGGAUGAGACUGCAGAUACAGUAUUAAAGAAGCUGGAUAAACAGUACCAGAAGUAUAAGUUUAUGGAACUCAACCUUGCUCAAAAGAAAAGAAGCCUAAAAAUUCAGAUUCCUGAAAUUAAACAGACUUUGGAAAUUCUAAAAUACAUGCAGAAGAAAAAAGAGUCCACCAGCUCAAUGGAGACCAGAUUCUUGCUGGCAGAUAACCUGUAUUGCAAAGCUUCAGUUCCUCCUACCGAUAAAGUGUGUCUGUGGUUGGGGGCUAAUGUAAUGCUUGAAUAUGAUAUUGAUGAAGCUCAGGCAUUGUUGGAAAAGAAUUUAUCGACUGCCACAAAGAAUCUUGAUUCCCUUGAGAAAGACCUUGACUUUCUUCAAGAUCAAUUUACUACCACAGAAGUCAAUAUGGCCAGGGUUUAUAAUUGGGAUGUAAAAAGAAGAAACAAGGAUGACUCUACCAAGAACAAAGCAUAAUGCUGGCAAUUAAAAAUGUGAUUCGGUUUUCCAAACGUGUUAUCUUAAAUACCCCUUUAUCCUUAACAGGUUGACAUAACUUUGAAUGUUUUAACAGCAAGAAUUUUAAGAAAAGAUAAACACCAUUUUAUUUAUUUAUAAAAACAAAAUUAGUUUCAAAUAUUUUUGACAUUGUGAUUUUUUUUUCACAUUUCUCAGCAAAGCUAAUGGUAUUUUAAUCAUUAUUUUUGCCUGUCAUAAGAAAACUCUUAGCUGAAAUGGCUGAAAACUGUGAGACAUGCUAUGGAAGCUGAAUGCCAGACGCUAUAGCACAGUUUACUUUUUCCUUUUCUAAUUGGCUGAUGUUACUCUCACUUGAUGUGGUUAAACCAUUUUAGAGGUAGAGAAGACAGUUUGAAUAUUUGUAAACUUGUUUUUCUUUGGUAUAUUUAGGACUUAGUGCUCCUCUGUUGCUAUUGUCUUCUAUAAGUGGGGUUUCAUGACUUACUGCUUAACAAAUAACUAUCUACUAUGAUAUUCUGGACAUUUUAGGAAAUGGUAAUUUGCCUUGCUACACAUUAAGAGGGCUAUUAAGACAACAUUUUUUCUAACCUCAGAUAAGUGCAGUGUCUUUGCAAUGCCAACAUAAGGGAGAUCUUGGCCAACGUGAAAUAAAAUUACUCAUUCAAAA